AUCGUCAGCAAUUUCGAAAUAUAAGGGAUCAGCGGCAAAUUAAGAAUCAAUAGCACCAGGUUGCCAAAAUACAUCGAAAUAAUGACUGACCAGAAAACCUCAGGGUUAUCAACAAACAGGCGAGGGCC
rnacentral:ncRNA from 1 species